rnacentral:rRNA from 1 species
CCCUUAGAUGUUCUGGGCCGCACGCGUGCUACACUGAGUGGAUCAGCGGGUCAGGUUGCGCGAAAGCGUUUCCUAAUCUUUAAAUCCGCUCGUGAUGGGGAUUGACGGUUGCAAUUUUCUGUCAUGAACGAGGAAUACCUUGUAAGCGCGGGUCAUCAUCCCGCGCUGAAUACGUCCCUGCCCUUUGUACACACCGCCCGUCGCUCCUACCGAUUGAGUGGUCCGGUGAGGCUUUGGGAUCUGAGCGGAAAGAGCGUUUCGCUGUUUCUGCUCGGAAAACUCAGUCGAACCUUAUCGUUUAGAGGAAGGAGGAGUCGUAACA